rnacentral:rRNA from 1 species
AGAGUUUGAUCAUGGCUCAGGAUUAACGCUGGCGGCGUGCCUAAUGCAUGCAAGUCGAACGGGGCGCCUUCGGGCGACACCGUGGCGGACGGGUGAGGAACACGUGGGGAACCUGCCCAUCGGUGGGGGGUAGCCCGCGGAAACGCGGGGUAAUUCCGCAUACGCUGGCCGAAGAGUAGCUUUGGUCAGGAAAGGCGUUUAGUCGCCGAUGGAGGGGCCUGCGUCCGAUUAGCUAGUUGGUGGGGUAACGGCCUACCAAGGCAGUGAUCGGUAGCUGGUCUGAGAGGACGGCCAGCCACAGGGGGACUGAGACACGGCCCCCACUCCUACGGGAGGCAGCAGCAAGGAGUUUUCCGCAAUGGGCGAAAGCCUGACGGAGCAACGCCGCGUGGGGGAUGACACCUUUCGGGGCGUAAACCCCUUUUCUUGGGGACGAAGCAGUGACGGUACCCGAGGAAGAAGGCCCGGCUAACUACGUGCCAGCAGCCGCGGUAAUACGUAGGGGCCGAGCGUUGUCCGGAGUUACUGGGCGUAAAGCGCGCGCAGGCGGCUCGUCAAGCCUGACGUGAAAGCCCCCGGCUCAACCGGGGAGGGUCGUCGGGGACUGGCGGGCUUGAGGUCGGCAGGGGCUGGUGGAAUUCCCGGUGUAGUGGUGAAAUGCGUAGAGAUCGGGAGGAACACCCGUGGCGAAGGCGGCCAGCUGGGCCGGACCUGACGCUGAGGCGCGAAGGCGUGGGGAGCGAACGGGAUUAGAUACCCCGGUAGUCCACGCAGUAAACGAUGCAGACUAGGCGUGGGGGGACUUGACCCCCUCCGUGCCGAAGCCAACGCGUGAAGUCUGCCGCCUGGGAGUACGGCCGCAAGGCUAAACUCAAGGAAUUGACGG